rnacentral:tRNA from 1 species
GGAGAGGUGGCCGAGAGGCUUAAGGCACAGGUUUGCUAAACCUGCGUAGGAGUAUAUCCUACCGAGGGUUCGAAUCCCUCCCUCUCCG